rnacentral:tmRNA from 1 species
GGGGGCGACCUGGUUUCGACGUGGGUUGCGAAGCCCGAGGUGCAUGCCGAGGUGCAGAUCACCUCGCUAAACAAUCUGCAAACCAAAUAGUUGCCAACGACGACAACUACGCACUCGCCGCUUAAAACCCGGUAGGGUGCCGUCUGACUGGAGCCGUGCUUGUGCGUCCAGACUUCAGGCGUCAUCUCUCACAAGCUCGCGAGGAGGUUCGUCCGUGGCCGAAUCGCUAAAAACCAAAGCGGACUCGCUGCAGAGCGCGCCCUGUCCGUCGGGCUUGCUCUCAGUUAAAUACAAUUGACGGACUAAGCAUGUAGAGCCGAAGGUAGAGAGCUUGCGGACGCGGGUUCGAUUCCCGCCGCCUCCACCA